rnacentral:misc_RNA from 1 species
CUUCAUGGUGCAUUCCAGUUUCCACUAUCAUUUAACAUCAAGCAAAACUGUUUUAACUAGCCACCUUAACAGUAAGAUGUUUCAUAUAUAAUGGAGUUUAAAUGUUUUUUCAUAAGAUAACAUGAUUUGAUAAUUUUUCUUGAAAUAGCAUGCCUCAAUUAUUUUCAAUGAUUAAAACUCAGCCAUAGAAAAAGGUGAAAACAAUUUAUAUUGGAGUUUCACACGGCAAUCAUAUACUUGGUUCUCUCUCUGUUGAACUGAACUACUGUAGAAGAAAAGCCUUCAUGUCCAUGGUGUCAGGUGGAUUUCCAAUACCUCAACACAGUUGAGGAAAUUCCUGGCAACCAUGCAAAUGGUCGAUCACACUUUCACUCUGUAGCAAGAUAUCAAAAGUUAUACUUCUAUUUAUCUCCUGGUUUUCAAUUUGACAAAACAGGAAGGAAAAAAAAAAGAGUUGGAAGUUCUUUGCAUGAAAAGACAAGAAUUCAAAAUUAUCUAGUCAAUUGUGUCCCCCAUGGAUGCAUCUACAUGAAGACAUCAUCAUUCAUCACAAUUAUAUUAAAGAAGUUGGAUGGAAUUUGAUUUAAUGUAGUAAGGAAAGUAUAGGUGGAUUUAGAAAAUAUGACCCCUGCACUGAAAGAAAUUGCAGAGUAACACUAAUGCAGUGACUAUCAGUAACAGAGAUCAACUGAUAGUUCACAUACACUGAUAGUCAAGUUAGGUCACAUACAGUGUUGCUCUUCUCCGAAAGUUAUUAAAAUGUAAUUAUUAAAAUGUAACUGAUAGUUCACCUACACUGCUGUAUAUUAUUAAAAUGCAUACCAAUAAAAUAUGACACAAAGGCAUUUGAUAAUGAGCAGCAAGUGGUCCAACCUAGGCAAUAAUGAAAAGAGAAGAAAAGGUUAAGCAUAAGCAAAUCAGCUACUUAUGGUGGCCAGAACUCAAAUAAGCCAAAUACAACUUAUAAAUCCAAUGUAAGUGGGAGGGGGUAAAAAAGAUAAAAGACUAACUUGGUUACCAAAAAUUUCUCAACCCGAUAGACCAGUGAUUCCUUGCAUCUCUUUCAUGUUCAGCUCUAUUUAGAAUCAUAUUUAGCAAAAAAAAAUCCCUGGCAUUCUAAUUUUAUUCACAUCCUCAAAGCAAAAUAUCACAAUGUGUAAAUCAACUGAAGUAAUUUCUGCACAUCAAAGUAUUGGUCAAAUCUAGGUAAUCCCAUCAGCACUCAGCUUUUUACAACAAAAUCUACUAAUAUUCUGGCAUACGCAAUUUAGGUUGACAUUGAUAAGAAAUGCUUCUCAGAUUUGAAUAACAGUGAUGCAUACACUUUUUCCACAAUACAAAAAGGAUGAAUGGUGAUAUGAACCUACUUAACUCCACCUCAAAAGCUAGCACAUAAGGGAAGGUUUACAAACCCAUAUUUAUAACACCCAAGACCUUCCUGCAGAACCGAUGUAGGACGCAUUAUUCCCGACUUCUUUAGACUGAACGUCCUCGUGAAUCAACCGGGGUCAUGACUCGUUCACUCCGACCUCUUUCGAAGAACGUCAGGAAACCUUUGUACAUGGCUCAUCGACCGGACGCUAAUUAUGCAAAAUAAACAAGAUACUAUACAUACUAUACAUUGUUUUCAAUCAAUCAUAAAUUUAAUUAAAAGGUAGCUCAUAUCUUGCCAAAUUUAAAGGUACAAUAGUUGUGGGAGUUUUGCACACAGAUAAUGAAAGAAGGAAAAAACAGUAAGUUAAAAACUGUUGAAUUAUGCCCCAGUUACUCAAGUAUGAAAUGUUAAAGCUUAUUUUAAAAAAUAAUUAAAAUAAAACUCCACUAAUAAAAAAGUCAUGGAAAAGGAUGCACCGUGAGGCUAUCAAUUACUGGUUUUACCAUAAAUUCAAUUCCACCAUCUUGCUUAAAUUAAAUUAAGCAGGUCGACAGUGUUUUGUCCUAAAUGUAACCCAUUGAAAUUAAUUGAUCCUCAAGAUUUCUGUUUCUCUCCCCGGCUCUCCCCUCUCUCCUCACACCGCAACCCUUCUCUCAGUGUCCAUGUUCAUGAGAUCUAAUUGCCACCAAGCAGACACAUAUUGGAUUAUGUUAUUACACAUAUGCCUAUAAAACCCCUACAUCCAAAUAACAAUAUAGGUGAAAUGCAGCAAAUAUUGUUCAGCAACUUAUACCUUGAGUCUUCUGUCCGUUCCACCAAGGAUAGAACACAGACAUCAUUCAAGACUAGACAACCCUCAACAUCUUAAAAUUGGAACUAAUUCAACUUAGAUAACCAUAAGGGUCUGUUUGGAUGGGGUUAGGAAAAAUUGAGAUUUGACCGCUUUCCAACAGGGACAUAACUCACUUACUCACUUACCCCUCCUCUAUUUAGCCCUCCUUCGCCCUCAUCCAAACAGACCCUAAGUAGAAUCAGCUUCAUGAAUUCAUAAAACUGAACUACAAAAUUUCGCAGAUAACUACAUAAAUAAAUUAUUUAUAUAUAAAGUGUCCAAUGAAAAUAAAACUGACCUCCGAAACCCCACCCAACGCCGAACCCACAACCGAUACCAAAACCAAAUCCCACACCGGGACCACUGAAAUUUGUAAGUACCAUUUUCUUUCGCAGCUGAGAAUGAGAGAGCUGAUAGCCCUUUGAAUUCAAGCUGCGAGACUUAAAAAGGGAGGUAUCAACACAAAGGGGAAAGUUUAUAGAAGCAAAUCAAUUUGAU